UGUGGCUCCGCUCGAGGGGAAGGCACGCAGAAGCAAAAGAAAAGAAGCUCCCACCUUUUGUUGCUGGUACACUUGCGCUAGUCCGUCUAUUACUAGGCACAUACGCACGUCAAUAGUGUGUCUCUAAGGUUCGAGUGGGGCAGAAAAGAGGAAAUUGUAUGGGCAGAAUUGUAGAAGCACCUGAAAGAGGAACACAUUCACAAGUGGGAUCCUAUCUGUUGUCCAUCACACUCGGCACCUAUCAUUAAAAAUGAAAUGGUGCGAUCUUAGAAAACGUCUUCCAGCAAGUAGCUGCAGUCAGCCAUCAUCUUCUUUUUGAUUUUUGAAGAAGAAAAAAAAAACCAUUAAAACGGCAUUUUCGCUGUGUCGGGUCCCGAUCGUAGACUUGUUGUGAAGGACGCGAGCGACAGCAGCAAAACACGUAUUAUCCUAUUCUAUUUCGUACAAGAACCUUCUCUCUUUUUUUCUUCCGUUCAAUCCAUAAUAGGAGAGAAAGGACGUUCUAAACCAGUCCAGCAAGUGCUACAUUUUAUUUUUUUAAAAUAACCUGAUAAGCACUCGGGACAACAAUAGCGCGACGAGGGUUGGCCAGCACAAGUUCAUGCUUUUGUCACGAGCUCGCGAUGAGCUGGGAUUUCUUCAUCUUGCGACAUAUUACGAACGGAAAGGAAAACCUUCUUUUUUUUAAUCACUCAAUUUAGUAUUUGAUUUUUUUAGGAUUAAAUGACUUGCAAUCAAGUUGGUCUUCAUCGGCUUUUGCUCGGCUCUGUCGCAACCAUCUCACAUUUUUUUGUGUGUAGUCACAAAUGUUGCGUGUGUACUAUUUUUGUCUAUCUUAAUGGGGUGUGUUGCUGCGGAUGGGGAAAAAAAGAACGAGUCGAUCGAGUUGAACCAGUUUUUCUCGUCGCGCGCGCACACACACACAUCAGUUCUGAUUUGUCCACUCGAUAAACGCACGCAAACAAAAGAAACUCUUUCUCUCUGUCUCCCUGUCCAAGUUUUCGUUUCACAACCGAAAAGAAAAAACCUGAAGGAAAGGCAAACAGCGCCGAUAUGCCGCCAACAUAUCCCGGCUCCGUCGUGUCCACACACGCACAACAACACUGUCCUGAAAUCACGAUCAACUGCAAAAACAAAAAAAAAAAAAAAAAGUCCAAGGCAAAAUAGCCAUCUAUGCCAAUACAGUGAAUUAAACAGUUUUUUUUUGUGUGUGAUACAUUGGCUGAAUACACAAACAAAAGAAAGGCA